AGGGGUGUAGUUCCAACGGCAGAACGUCGGAUUCCAAAUCCGAAUGUUGGGAGUUCGAAUCUCUCCACCCCUGCCA
rnacentral:tRNA from 4 species